rnacentral:rRNA from 1 species
GUGAGGAAUUUUCCGCAAUGGGCGAAAGCCUGACGGAGCAAUGUCGCGUGAAGGAUGAAGGCCUAUGGGUUGUAAACUUCUUUUCUCAGAAAAGAAUUAUGACGGUAUCUGAGGAAUAAGCAUCGGCUAACUCUGUGCCAGCAGCCGCGGUAAGACAGAGGAUGCAAGCGUUAUCCGGAAUGAUUGGGCGUAAAGCGUCUGUAGGUUGUUUAAAAAGUAUUCUGUCAAAGAUUAGGGCUUAACCCUAGAUAGGCAGAAUAAACUUUUAAGCUAGAGUUUGGUAGAGGCAGAGGGAAUUCCCGGUGGAGCGGUGAAAUGCGUAGAUAUCGGGAGGAACACCAAAGGCGAAGGCACUCUGCUGGGCCAAUACUAACACUGAGAGACGAAAGCGAGGGGAGCAAAUGGGAUUAGAAACCCCAGUAGUCC